rnacentral:rRNA from 1 species
GCCUAACAGCUAGCCCACCCAAACAAUUUCAACAAACCCCUGUUAAUAACCCCUAAAUACCCCAGUAUUUAUUUUAAACAAACCAUUUUUCCCCCCUAGUAUAGGCGAUAGAAAAGGGCCCACGGCGCAAUAGAGAAAGUACCGCAAGGGAAUGCUGAAAGAGAAGUGAAACAACCCAGUAAAGCCUAAAAAAGCAGAGAUCUAAACUCGUACCUUUUGCAUCAUGAUUUAGCAAGUGUAACCCAAGCAAAGCGUACUUUAGUUUGACGUCCCGAAACUAGGUGAGCUACUCCAAGACAGCCUAUCAAUAGGGCGUACCCGUCUCUGUGGCAAAAGAGUGGGGAGAGCUUUGAGUAGAGGUGACAAACCUACCGAACCUAGUUAUAGCUGGUUGUCCAAGAAAUGAAUAGAAGUUCAGCCUUUCAGCUUCUCUUUUCACCUUAGUCUGACCCCUAUUGAUGCAUUAAAGAAACCGAAAGAGUUAGUCAAAGGGGGUACAGCCCCUUUGAAUCAAGACACAACUUUACCAGGAGGGUAAAGAUCAUAAUAAUUAAAGCUAAAUGUUCUGGUGGGCCUAAAAGCAGCCAUCCCCUUAGAAAGCGUUAAAGCUCAGACAUGCGACCAUCCUUCUUAUCCUGAUCACUUAAUCUUACCCCCCUAACCGUACUGGACCAUCCCAUGCCAACAUGGGAGUGACUAUGCUGAAAUGAGUAAUAAGAGAGCUACCGGCUCUCUCCCUGCACACGUGUAUAUCGGAACGGACAACCCACCGAACCUUAACGGCCCCAAAUAAAGAGGGCAGUGGAUGUUAGACCAAAAAACUAGAAAAGUAUCCAGAA